ACCAGCUGUUGCCAUUAAAGGGUACGGACGCUGACUGGUAGUUGUUAUAGAAGUUUUCACAAAUAUGUUGUUUGUGUAAAGAAAUCUUUGUGAAAAACUGGCUUGCAAUGAAGUUGAGUUAUGGUUCCAAAGCUGCAUUAUGGGGAUAGAAAGUCUCAUUAUAGUAUUAGACAAUCCUGUUGGAAUUUAUUUUCCUGGAGAGGAAGUGUCUGGAGUAGUUCACAUCUCAAAUGUCAGCAGUAAAAUACUGAAAGGAAUUUACCUGGAAUGUCAAGGCUAUGCAAAAUUUUGUUUCAAUGAAUUGAGUAGUCAGACUUACUAUUCAGCUGAAGAAACUUAUCUAGACCUGAAAAUCCUCUAAUUACCAAUGAAGGUAUCAAUUUAUAUAUUUAGUGACAAGCAAUGUUCAAUAUUUUUAUUAUGUUAUAUACAUUAAUUGUUUUACUUGCAGGCAGAGAAACAUUUGAACUUGUCAGUGGAGUUCACCAAUUUCCAUUUGUGUUUGUACUUCCAAAAAAAUUUCCUCUUCAUUUCAAACUGAGAUGUUGAAAAAAUUUGGCUAUGGCCAUGUCAAAUACUCAAUCAAAGUAGUUUUGAAGAGAUCUUCACGUCAAGCAAAUGGAGAAACCUGCUACAUUCCAUUCACUGGGAGUUUUGAAGCCGUCAUGGAAACCAAAUUACGAAUAUGUGCUCGCUUUUACAGUUAAAACCAUUGUUGAGUUAAAUACAAUUUUCAAUUACCGGAGUGAUCGCUUUAGCGAUCACGAAGGGUAAUUGUAAUUGUACUAGGAUAUAUGAGAGAGAGACCCUAAGGGUGUAGACCUAUUUAUUUUAGCUUUUUCAAAGAGAUUGAAGGUCACUUGGCCUACCUGUGGCCCGGCACGCCCCCCUUUCACUCAGACUUAAAGAAAGCGUGCCGCCAACAGAUAAAAUUUGCCUGUGAUAUAAAGAGCACAGAAUGCACUGGUGUAACGAUUCAAACAGAACAUAAACAACAUCUGGUGAACGAACAAAAUUGACAAAUGGCAAGUGACGCCUUCAAGAACAGGGGGAAACUCAAGAAACUUCUUUGGUGGUAUGGUUGAUCACCCGGUACACCUUCAUUGGUCUCCGUUCUCCUUACGAUAACUUCCUUUGGACCUUCUAUCUGGUUGAACCCUAGGCCGUUUCGGCAAACAACAACAUUAGAACAGGUGCAAGGAUAAAAUGAGAUGGGCGGAUUGUGGGUUGGGAUUCAAGACCCUUAGGGUCUCUCUCUCAUUUAUCCUAGUACAAUUACAAUUACCCUUCGUGAUCGCUAAAGCGAUCACUCCGGUAAUUGAAAGUUGUACAGCGGAACAUUCCACUCGACCCUAAGGGUGACUUCAAAGAUUCACGCAUCGGACAAAACCGAUGCUGAAAAUGUUGGGUUUGUUUGGCGAUUAUAAAAGCGACUGAAUGUCGAACGGCUUGACCAAUGACCCGCUUGUAACACUGUGUCAACAGAGAGGCCUUUCGCGAUAGCCAACGAUGAAGCUGCGCCGCGGGUUGAGUGUGCGCUAAAAACCGACGUAUCGAUCCCGGCCAGUUUUAAGAAGGACUUGAUCCAACGAGCAAUUGUAUUGCCUGUUACCGCGCCGUAAGGGGAUAUCAGGGAUAUGAAUAAUCGCCCAUCCUGACCCUGCGGUCGAUUAAUCUCAGUUCGGGAUAUGUAGGAUCGCAGCGCAGA